AGGGCUCAGAGAACCAGCCAUGCAGCUGCUGCUCCCAAGAGGAGCAGAGCUGACUGAGGCUGGGAGGCUAUCAGGAGCUGGGGUGCCAGAGACCCCUUGGAAGGGUGGCCCAGAAACCUGGGGCCAAAGAUAGAGUUUUUUGUUGAUGCACCUUGGUGCACAUAACAAAAUUUAUUCCACACAUGGAUGGAAAAACUUAGAGGAAACAUUGGCCCCGACCUUUAUUUGCACUGAGGACCGGGAACUGAAACUGCUUGAAAGACUGCUUCCCUCUCACUUGCACAAGGAAGUGGGGCAGAUGGAGAAUUGAGGUGCAGAGAGACCAAGUAACCUGCCCAAAGCCACACAUGAAGCCUGUGCUGAGGAGAGACUAGAAACCGGGUCUGUCAAGUCCUAGACUAGCACCCUAAUCAUUGGAUCAUCCUUCCUCUCCAAUAUUCCAGUACUAUGAGCAAGUACUCUGAGAAGGAACUGUAAG